rnacentral:rRNA from 1 species
AGCCGCCGCGGUAAUACGGAGGGUGCAAGCGUUACUCGGAAUCACUGGGCGUAAAGGGCGCGUAGGCGGAUUAUCAAGUCUCUUGUGAAAUCUAAUGGCUUAACCAUUAAACUGCUUGGGAAACUGAUAGUCUAGAGUGAGGGAGAGGCAGAUGGAAUUGGUGGUGUAGGGGUAAAAUCCGUAGAUAUCACCAAGAAUACCCAUUGCGAAGGCGAUCUGCUGGAAC